AGAGAAUCUCAAGCAGACCUCCACUGAGCACGGAGCCUGACUCAGGGCUUGAUGCCACAACCCUGAGAUCACGACCUCGGCCGAAAUUAAGAGUCAGAUGCUUAACCAACUGAGCCACCCAGGAGCUCCAGAAAGUUAGCUUUAAGAAGGAACGUAAAAGAAAAAAAAAAAAAGUAUUUCAAAAACUAGAUAUAAGAAUGCUCCAGACCAGCUCUGUCCAAUAGAACUUUCUGUGAUGAUAGAAAUAUUUUAUAUCUAUACUGUCUAUUAUGGUAGCCACAUAAUUCUCAGUUGAGAACUUGAAAUGUUUGAAUUGAAUUUUUAAAUGUAUUUAAUUUUUUUAAAAUUUAGAUUUAAUGGCUACCAUGUUGAACAACGCCACUCGGCAGAGAAAGUAGCACGAGUAGAAGCACUGAAGAUUGAGAGAGCAUGGGAACUUGUUUUGGAGGUGGCCGUUUUUCUGGUCUGGCAGGAGUAAAGCUGGGUGAUAAAGUAGAAGGUCUUCCAGCCCCUGCUUCAUGAAAGGAAAGCUGGGGAAGUCAGGAUGAGGAGACUCUCUUGUCUCCACCCCAUUCCCAAAUGCCUACAUGAGCGAGAGUCACAGGCUAUCCAGACUUGUCUAUGAGGUGAAAAUGAAGCUACUGGGACUCAAACCUCAAGGAGUGCCCAAGAACUGAGGAAAGAUGGGAUGCCAAAUGUUUGACAGAUAAGUGCCUUGGGGAGCCAUGAUGACAGCUGAUCCCUCCCUGCAGUUUGAAGUCCUUGCUAAUGACCUAACUGUAAUUCUCAGACCGCUCAACAAGGAUCCUACAUGCUUCCUCAGGCCUGCAAGGAUCUAUUCUGGGCUCAGCCAGUUGGAUGCCCACAUGUGGGAGUCUGAACAUGGACGGAGUGAUGCAGAGUUCCUGGGGGAGAGCUGAAUAUUCGUGAGGAAGUGUCCAGUGACAACAGUUGUCAAACUCAUCACCCUGCUCCCGUGUGAACACAGGGGUAUCCUAUGUUGCUGUCAAAUUCCUCUGCCUGGUUUUCAUCCCAUCCAUUCAGUGGAUUAUUCAACAUUCUUCCAAUAACACCUUUUCUGCUUACAUGAGUCAGGGUGAAAAAAAGAAAGUCAGGAUGG
rnacentral:lncRNA from 1 species